rnacentral:rRNA from 1 species
AGCGUAGGCGGACGCUUAAGUCAGUUGUGAAAGUUUGCGGCUCAACCGUAAAAUUGCAGUUGAUACUGGGUGUCUUGAGUACAGUAGAGGCAGGCGGAAUUCGUGGUGUAGCGGUGAAAUGCUUAGAUAUCACGAAGAACUCCGAUUGCGAAGGCAGCUUGCUGGACUGUAACUGACGCUGAUGCUCGAAAGUGUGGGUAUCAAACA